rnacentral:rRNA from 1 species
UGGGGAAUAUUGCACAAUGGAGGGAACUCUGAUGCAGCGACGCCGCGUGAACGAAGAAGGCUUUCGAGUCGUAAAGUUCUUUUAUAUGGGAAGAUAAUGACGGUACCAUAAGAAAAAGCCCCGGCUAACUACGUGCCAGCAGCCGCGGUAAUACGUAGGGGGCUAGCGUUGUCCGGAAUCACUGGGCGUAAAGGGUUCGCAGGCGGAAAUGCAAGUCAGGUGUAAAAGGCAGUAGCUUAACUACUGUAAGCAUUUGAAACUGCAUAUCUUGAGAAGAGUAGAGGUAAGUGGAAUUUUUAGUGUAGCGGUGAAAUGCGUAGAUAUUAAAAAGAAUACCGGUGGCGAAGUCGACUUACUGGGCUCAUUCUGACGCUGAGGAACGAAAGCGUGGGUAGCAAACAGG